GCCAGGUGCGGUAGCACAUGCCUGUAGUCCCAGCUACUCAGGAGGCUGAGGCAGGAAGAUCAAUUGAACCCAGGAGUUCUAUGCUGUGGUGCACUAUUCCAAUCAGGUGUCUGCACUAAUUGAAGCAUCACUAUGGUGACAUUCUGGGAGUAGGGGACUACCAGGUUGACUAAGGAGGGAUUAAAUAGCUCAGGAAAUAAACAGAGCAGGUCUAAACUCCCAUGCUGAUCAGUAGUGGGAUUGUUUCUGUGAAAAACCACUGUACUCCAGGGGCAACAUAGUGACACCCUGUAUCUA
rfam:Homo sapiens chromosome 2, GRCh38 reference primary assembly.